rnacentral:rRNA from 1 species
CGGACGGGUGAGUAAUGUAUAGGAACUUGCCUAGUAGUGGGGGAUAACGUGUGGAAACGCACGCUAAUACCGCAUACGCUCUACGGAGGAAAGCGGGGGACCUUCGGACCUCGUGCUACUAGAUGGGCCUAUAUCAGAUUAGCUAGUUGGUAAGGUAAUGGCUUACCAAGGCGACGAUCUGUAGCUGGUUUGAGAGAAUGAUCAGCCACACUGGGACUGAGACACGGCCCAG